UGAUCAUCGAGUCUUGACGCACAGUGCGCCUUGCAUCGAGGGCACACCGUUUGAGUGCGUGAAAUCCUCCACCUUCUUUGUUUCUUUGAACCAAGAAGGCUUGGAAUUUGAGGCUUCUGCUGGCCUCUUUCUUGAAGCCAGCUCCUCUUAAAUGGAUUAGCAGGUUCUGCUUAGCCAGAUCUCUUGACGUGAUAAGCCAUUUCUACGUCCUGGGUUGGGCUCUGUCUCUUGCUUACAAUUGUCUCUUUUAGAGACAUACAAUACACCCUUGACCUCAAAUCGGGUGAGACUACCCGCUGAACUUAAGCAUAUCAAGAG
rnacentral:rRNA from 1 species